CGUGCAGAAAUGAACUGUUGUCAGAGUUUCAAUGGAAUUAAUAUUUUUAGUAAAAUGUUAAUGGUGAAUGUGUUAAUGUAAAGAGUUAGAAGAUUAGUGAUGCAUAAUGAAAGUAAUGCAUUCUUUUGCAUGAAAAUAGGAAUAUAAUAAAUGUCCUUCAGGUGACUGAAGCUGCAGUCAUUUUAUUGAAGAUUAAAGUUUGAUUGACCUUUGUUAGGGUGAUUAACCCUUCUGGAAUUAAAAGCCCAGGCUAAAUUAUUCUGUCCAAUUUAAAUGCAAA
rnacentral:lncRNA from 1 species